AUUGAACGCUGGCGGCAUGCUUUACACAUGCAAGUCGAACGGUAACAGGCCUUCGGGUGCUGACGAGUGGCGAACGGGUGAGUAAUGCAUCGGAACGUACCCAGAGGUGGGGGAUAACGCAGCGAAAGCUGUGCUAAUACCGCAUGUGAUCUGAGGAUGAAAGCGGGGGACCGAGCAGCAAUGUUUGGCCUCGCGCCUUUGGAGCGGCCGAUGUCGGAUUAGCUAGUUGGUGGGGUAAAGGCCUACCAAGGCGACGAUCCGUAGCUGGUCUGAGAGGACGACCAGCCACACUGGAACUGAGACACGGCCCAGACUCCUACGGGAGGCAGCAGUGGGGAAUUUUGGACAAUGGGCGCAAGCCUGAUCCAGCAAUGCCGCGUGCGGGAAGAAGGCCUUCGGGUUGUAAAGCGCUUUUGGCAGGAACGAAACGGUGUCCGCUAAUACCGGGCGCUAAUGACGGUACCUGCAGAAUAAGCACCGGCUAACUACGUG
rnacentral:rRNA from 1 species